UCGUCAGCUCGUGUCGUGAGAUGUUGGGUUAAGUCCCGCAACGAGCGCAACCCUUGCCUUUAGUUGCCAGCAUUAAGUUGGGCACUCUAGAGGGACUGCCGAGGAUAACUCGGAGGAAGGUGGGGAUGACGUCAAAUCAUCAUGCCCCUUAUGCUUAGGGCUACACACGUGCUACAAUGGGUGGUACAGAGGGUUGCCAAACCGUGAGGUGGAGCUAAUCCCUUAAAGCCAUUCUCAGUUCGGAUUGUAGGCUGAAACUCGCCUACAUGAAGCUGGAGUUACUAGUAAUCGCAGAUCAGAAUGGUGCGGUGAAUGCGUUCCCGGGUCUUGUACACACCGCCCGUCACACCAUGGGAGUUGGGGGCGCCCGAAGCCGGUUAGCUAACCUUUUAGGAAAACAACCGUCGAAGGUGAAACCAAUGACUGGGGUGCCAGUCAGGGGCAAGGUAGCCGUA
rnacentral:rRNA from 1 species